rnacentral:lncRNA from 1 species
GUUAACUCAAAACCUGGCCAUAUCUCAUAUAACAAGGAGUAUGUCUGAGCUCUUCUGCUCAACCUCCUCCCAGCUCUGUAUUUCCCAGUCUUCAUGAUGGGUAUCAAGAAAAGGGAAAAUAAGAAAGACUUGGCAUUUGAGUUUUGAAGGUUAGAGCUACAUAUUUGAUGAUCAAGAACUCUCGAACUGCACCUGGAUACUAAUUCUGAAUGGAAGCUUACAAUUGUAAGGUGUUUAGCUCUUACUCUACACAAAUCCUUUUUGUGUGAGGAAGAUAAGGCUGUUGGGAGAGUCAAGUAAUUGAAUGAUGUGAAUUUCCUGGAGUUUCCAUAAGUUCCUGUAAAUUUAGCCUCCAACUGAAAUAAACCAAUUGAAUGUAAGACAUCAGACCCUAAAGAACCAAAGUUGUUAUUUCUGUGGAAGACCAGCCAACCUAUUCUUACAGCUGAAACUAGGAAUCUGGCCUGCAAACAGUGUGUUAAGGCAUUCUCCAAGUUUCAAAACAAGAGUAUACCAUUUUGAAGGCCUAUAAAUAGAAAGAAUUUUUCAAAUGUUAAUUCAGUAAUGACCGCUGUCUUUGGAAAAGAUAAUUGCAAUGUGUUACUGCGAACCACUUUAAACCUGUAUUUCUCAUUGCAUUUAAUAUUUAAUUUUAUUUUUUAUCAUUAUAUAUCAACAGUUCUUUCUGGAGCAAAGCAAUCCUAUUUGACUUUUUUUUA